rnacentral:rRNA from 1 species
AUUGAACGCUAGCGGGAUGCUUUACACAUGCAAGUCGAGCGAGUGGCGGACGGGUGAGUAAUAUAUCGGAACGUGCCCAAUAGCGGGGGAUAACUACUCGAAAGUGUGGCUAAUACCGCAUACUAUUAGAUGCGCCGAUAUGGGAUUAGCGAGUUGGGGGGGUAAGGGCUCACCAAGGCAACGAGCCGUAGCUGGUUUGAGAGGACGACCAGCCACACUGGGACUGAGACACGGCCCAGACUCCUACGGGAGGCAGCAGUGGGGAAUUUUGGACAAUGGGGGAAACCCUGAUCCAGCCAUCCCGCGUGUAUGAGAAGGCCUUCGGGUUGUAAAGUACUUUUGGCAGAGAAGCGUUAUCUGCAGAAUAAGCACCGGCUAACUACGUGCCAGCAGCCGCGGUAAUUC